rnacentral:tRNA from 2 species
GGGGGUGUAGCUCAGCCGGGAGAGCACCUGCUUUGCAAGCAGGGGGUCAGCGGUUCGAACCCGCUCAUCUCCACCA